rnacentral:lncRNA from 1 species
GCGGGGAGAGGGAAGGCGAAGGCGGGCUGAGCCCGGCGCCGGGAGGAGUGGUCUAAACUCCACCGCGGCUUUCGCAUCGGAGACGUGUCUUUAGGAAGCAGAGAGGGUUCGAUUCUGGACUCCGCCCAUGACUCACUUCUCUUGUAAAGAAAGAGUUGUCCUUCCUGGUACUCCAGGUUUAUGGGAUGCAGGAUAAUGGAGCAUGCUCUAUCUGGGACAUUGCUAGUCUUAUGACAGAGGGAGAAGACAGCGAUGAGUUUUCGAAGAACUCCAGGAAGUGGCUGCAGAGCAAAGUAGGAUCCUGAUACUGGUAAUUUUCUUGGCUUGUUGGAAAAAUAACUUGAUAUAUCAUUGCACA